rnacentral:rRNA from 1 species
UACAGAGGUCCCAAGCGUUGUUCGGAUUUAUUGGGCGUAAAGGGCGCGUAGGCGGCCUUCUAAGUCGAACGUGAAAUCCCCGGGCUCAACCCGGGAACUGCGUCCGAUACUGGAAGGCUUGAAUCCGGGAGAGGGAUGCGGAAUUCCAGGUGUAGCGGUGAAAUGCGUAGAUAUCUGGAGGAACACCGGUGGCGAAGGCGGCAUCCUGGACCGGUAUUGACGCUGAGGCGCGAAAGCCAGGGGAGCAAACGGG